UACGGAGGAGGCAAGCGUUAUCCGGAAUUACUGGGCGUAAAGCGCACGUAGGUGGCUAAGUAAGUCUGGGGUGAAAGCCCGGGGCUCAACCUCGGAAGUGCAUUUGAAACUGCAAAGCUGGAGUACGGAAGAGGUGGGUGGAAUUCCCAGUGUAGCGGUGAAAUGCGUAGAUAUUGGGAAGAACACCAGUGGCGAAGGCGGCCCACUGGUCCAGUACUGACACUGAGGUGCGAAAGCGUGGGGAGCAAACAGG
rnacentral:rRNA from 1 species